rnacentral:rRNA from 1 species
UACGUAGGAUGCAAGCGUUGUCCGGAAUUAUUGGGCGUAAAGAGUUCGUAGGCGGUUACUCAAGUCUGGUGUUAAAUCCCGAAGCUCAACUUCGGCAUGGCAUUGGAAACUAGGUAGCUAGAGUGUGGUAGAGGUAAAGGGAAUUCCAGGUGUAGCGGUGAAAUGCGUAGAUAUCUGGAGGAACACCGGCGGCGAAAGCGCUUUACUGGGCCAUAACUGACGCUGAGGAACGAAAGCCAGGGUAGCAAAAGGG